rnacentral:rRNA from 1 species
CCUACGGGUGGCAGCAGUGAGGAAUAUUGGUCAAUGGGCGGGAGCCUGAACCAGCCAAGUAGCGUGAAGGAUGACAGCCCUACGGGUUGUAAACUUCUUUUAUAAGGGAAUAAAGUGCGGCACGUGUGGCGUUUUGUAUGUACUUUAUGAAUAAGCAUCGGCUAACUCCGUGCCAGCAGCCGCGGUAAUACGGAGGAUGCGAGCGUUAUCCGGAUUUAUUGGGUUUAAAGGGAGCGUAGAUGGGUUGCUAAGUCAGUCGUGAAAGUUUGCGGCUCAACCGUAACAGUGCAAUUGAUACUGGCAGCCUUGAGUACACGUAAGGUAGGUGGAAUUCGUGGUGUAGCGGUGAAAUGCUUAGAUAUCACGAAGAACUCCGAUCGCGAAGGCAUUGUACCAAACUGACACUGACACUGAGGCUCGAAAGUGCGGGUAUCAAACAGGAUUAGAUACCCGAGUAGUC